UGGGGAAUUUUGGACAAUGGGGGAAACCCUGAUCCAGCCAUCCCGCGUGUGCGAUGAAGGCCUUCGGGUUGUAAAGCACUUUUGGCAGGAAAGAAACGUCAUGGGUUAAUACCCCGUGAAACUGACGGUACCUGCAGAAUAAGCACCGGCUAACUACGUGCCAGCAGCCGCGGUAAUACGUAGGGUGCAAGCGUUAAUCGGAAUUACUGGGCGUAAAGCGUGCGCAGGCGGUUCGGAAAGAAAGAUGUGAAAUCCCAGAGCUCAACUUUGGAACUGCAUUUUUAACUACCGGGCUAGAGUGUGUCAGAGGGAGGUGGAAUUCCGCGUGUAGCAGUGAAAUGCGUAGAUAUGCGGAGGAACACCGAUGGCGAAAGCAGCCUCCUGGGAUAACACUGACGCUAAUGCAAGAAAGCGUGGGGAGCAAACAGG
rnacentral:rRNA from 1 species